rnacentral:rRNA from 1 species
UACGGGGGGGGCAAGCGUUGUUCGGAAUUACUGGGCGUAAAGGGCUCGUAGGCGGCCAACUAAGUCAGACGUGAAAUCCCUCGGCUUAACCGGGGAACUGCGUCUGAUACUGGAUGGCUUGAGAUUGGGAGAGGGAUGCGGAAUUCCAGGUGUAGCGGUGAAAUGCGUAGAUAUCUGGAGGAACACCGGUGGCGAAGGCGGCAUCCUGGACCGACAUUGACGCUGAGGCGCGAAAGCCAGGGGAGCAAACGGG